UUUUUGGUCGGUGGAGAGAUUUCUCUCGUUUCUUCGGUAUUGUCGACCUUGAUUUUUUUUCUUUCUCUCCCAACGGCGAAACGGCGACUUUCUUCCCUUCGAUAUUGUGCCGAUCUCAUCUCCGCUGUCUCCUCGUCGAAGCCCAGUGAUUCCUCUGUCUCAUCGGCAAUCUCUUCGUCUACUUUGUCUCCGUCGACGACGACGAGAGAAGCUGAUGAUGAGUAUUCUUGCAGUUAUGACACAAGAAGCUGAUGAUGUUUUACAAGAAAGUGACGACGAGAGAAGCUGAUGAUGGGAAUGGAUGGACUGUGAUGCUCGAUUACAGUUUACUGCUUUAAGCUAGUGAUCAGUAGUGGGUUUGAUUGAAUUUAGCUAGAAUCCUUGUGAUGUUUAAUCGAUUACAGUUUACUGCAUUAAGUUAGUGUCCCUAAUGUUUGAUCGGUUUCUUGGUUUUGCCGUCUGAUUUCUUAUGUGUUCAAUAGGUAGUGAACUCAAUGAGUGGCAAAUUUGAUAGUGUUCUGAAGCUCUGAUUUUGAUGAUGUUUAGCUAAAAUUUCCUGUAAUUUGGAUCUGUUUGAAUGUCUGUUGAAUGUCUAUUUAACAUAAAGCUGAGAAUUUGAAGCUAUACCAUGGUAGUUAAAAUUGUGAUGAUUGUAUUUGCAGUAGUUAAAUUAAGAUCACGAAGCUAUACCAUGGUAGUUAAAUUAAGAUCACGAAGCUAUAGGUUUGUUCCUUUCUUUCUUUCUUUUGCCUGGUGAAACAACGAUAUAGGUUUGUGUCUGUGGCUGUGUGUUCCAAACCAGGACAAUGACUCAUAUAUUUUCAAGGACGUACGAAAACAUCAAGGUUUAGCACUGAGAGGGAGGGGACUUAUCUUGUGGUGAUCGAUGUCUUGCAAACUCUAAAGGAGGUGUCUCUGAAGAUCUAGUAGGUGUUUCUUAGUUGAGCACUUUGAUCCCAGUUGAUCUUUAUAUAUCCUAGUCUUCUUAGCUUCUAUCAUGUUGUUAGUCGAAGCUUUUAAAAUGCCAAUGACAAGAGACUGCAUCUGCCCCCAGUGAUAGGCUUCCUGCUAAUUCCAAUUCUGACACGACUAGUGAUCCUGGUGUUGUGACUUGUAACUAAGCUCAAUCGUCAGGUCAGGCAAGUUAGACUCAUUUACUCACAAUCACUCAAUAAAUUCAUUUCAAUUCCCCAUCCAUAUGUGAGACUGAAGAUCACGAAGCUAUACCAUGGUACUUAUUCUUCUUGUUUUUACAAUGGGAUUUAAGAAUUUGAUGAAGUACCCAUGACUUCACACAAGUUGUUGUAUUUUCUUGUUUGUAUCUGUUUCAUGUUUUGGUAUUAGUUCUCUUAUUAGGAUUCAUUUGUGACUUUCAUUGAAAGUUAUACAAUUUGAAAUUUAUAUUA